ACCUGCGGGAAGGAUCAUUG
rnacentral:rRNA from 2 species